rnacentral:lncRNA from 1 species
CAGGAGCAGACACGGAAUAACAGUGCGGAGAGGCGUGUGGAUGUGAAAGAGAUUCCUUGGCCCACGCAAGUCCUAGAGAGGAUGCCCUAACCCGCUGCGGAGGGAGCACCCAGCAGCAAAUCCAAGGAGUUGUACCAAUAAUCUAGAAGAUCGGAGUUCUAAAAAAACGCAUCUCUGCGACCCUUCGGAUCAACUGUGGCUAGUGUGCCCCUCCAGGAGGGGCUGGAGGAAGCCCAUAGGGUUGGGAGCCAACACCAGCAGGACGGUGAAACUCCAGCUGUGGCCCGUCUGUCGCUCCUCCCCAGGUCUGCACUCCACCUCGCAGGGAGGUAAUUGCUGGAAACGAAAACGAAGGUGGGUGUUCUCGGUUGGAUUGUGUCUGUCCCAAGUCCCCGUGUCAGUGUCCUAAGCCCCAGGACCUGAGAAUGUGACUGCUUUUAAGGAGGUGAUCAGGGUAAACCCAGGUCUGGUGGGUGGGUCCCAAUCCAGUAUGGCUGGUGUCCACAGAGGAAGAGACAAUUAGGACACAGACGCAAACACAGAGGGGGACGACCGCGCAAGGUCACAGCGAGAAGGUGGCCACCCCACGCCCGGGAAAGAGGCUUCAGAAGAAACCAGACCUUCCAACAACUUAAUUGUGGGCUUGUAUCUUCUCCAGAACAGUGAGGAAAUGAAUUUCUGCUGUUUAAGCCCCCGGGGUGCACUAGUUUGUAACGGCAGCCUCUGGCUGGAAAGGCAGAAUCGAGACUGUUUGUCAUACAGGAACGCGG